UUUUUGUAGUUGAAGUUUGACAACGGUGGUUUUUCAGGCCACAGUUCUUGGAAAAAAGUCAAGCAGAAACU
rnacentral:tRNA from 1 species